rnacentral:rRNA from 1 species
UACAGAGGGUGCGAGCGUUAAUCGGAAUUACUGGGCGUAAAGCGUGCGUAGACGGUUAUUUAAGUCAGAUGUGAAAGCCCCGGGCUCAACCUGGGAAUUGCAUUUGAGACUGAAUAGCUAGGGUACGGUAGAGGGAAGUGGAAUUUCCGGUGUAGCGGUGAAAUGCGUAGAUAUCGGAAGGAACAUCAGUGGCGAAAGCGACUUCCUGGACCAGUACCGACGUCAGGCACGAAAGCGUGGGGAGCAAACAGGA